rnacentral:rRNA from 1 species
CACGUAGGCCCCAAGCGUUGUCCGGAUUUAUUGGGCGUAAAGAGCUCGUAGGCGGUUCAGUAAGUCAGGUGUGAAAUCUUUGGGCUUAACCCAAAGCGUGCACUUGAUACUGCUGUGACUUGAGUUCGGUAGGGGAGUGGGGAAUUCCUAGUGUAGCGGUGAAAUGCGCAGAUAUUAGGAGGAACACCGGUGGCGAAGGCGCCACUCUGGGCCGAAACUGACGCUGAGGAGCGAAAGCGUGGGUAGCAAACAGG